GACGUAGGGCGCGAGCGUUGUCCGGAUUUAUUGGGCGUAAAGCGUCCGCAGGUGGCAAUGUAAGUCUGCUGUCAAAGCGUCUGGCUCAACCAGAUAAAGGCAGUGGAAACUACAUAGCUAGAGUAAGGUAGGGGUAGAGGGAAUUCCUGGUGUAGCGGUGAAAUGCGUAGAGAUCAGGAAGAACACCGGUGGCGAAGGCAGCUCGCUGGGACGGUACUGACGCUGAGACGCGAAAGCGUGGGGAGCAAACAGG
rnacentral:rRNA from 1 species